UAUGAGAGGCCAGAUAAUAUAAAAAGUGGGUCACCUGCUAGAGUUCUCGGAGAGAAUCUGCUGGUCUUGACUCACUGACGAGGGCAGCAAGUGCCCCCCCUCCGCAGUGCCCAGAUCAGAAACACAG